rnacentral:rRNA from 1 species
UAGUCCACGCCGUAAACGAUGUUUGCUAGUUGUUGGAAUCUUUCGAUUUCAGUGACGCAGAGAAAUCAUUAAGCAAACCGCCUGGGGAGUACGGCCGCAAGGUUAAAACUCAAAGGAAUUGACGGGGACCCGCACAAGCGGUGGAGCAUGUUCUUUAAUUCGAAGCAACGCGAAGAACCUUACCUACACUUGACAUCCUUCUUGGGACUUUCAGAGAUGAUUGUUUUCGGUUCGGCCGGGGAAGUGACAGGUGCUGCAUGGCUGUCGUCAGCUCGUGUCGUGAGAUGUUGGGUUAAGUCCCGCAACGAGCGCAACCCUUAUUGCUAGUUGCCAGCAUUCAGUUGGGCACCCUAGUGAGACUGCCGGUGAUAAGCCGGAGGAAGGCGGGGACGACGUCAAGUCUUCAUGGCCCUUACGGGGUUGGGGCUACACACGUGCUACAAUGGCAAGUACAGU